AUGAUCCUGUCACUCAUUCUACUGCUGGGAACACUGGGACUCCUCACUCAGGAAUCAUCAGGGGAAAUAAUUGUGACUCAGUCUCCACAAUCAAAGUCUGUUGUCCCAGGAGAGACCGUCUCUAUCAGCUGUACAGUCAGUCAGACUGUCUCCAGCUACCUCCACUGGUACCAGCAGAAACCUGGACAAGCUCCUAAACUCCUGAUUUAUAGCGCAACUGACCGUGAGUCUGGAGUUCCAGAUCGUUUCAGUGGGAGUGGGUCAGGCACACAGUUUACACUGAAAAUCACUGGAGUCCAGGCUGAAGAUGCAGGAGAUUAUUACUGUCAGCAGAGUCACUCAGGAACAAUGUGGACUUUUGGUGGAGGCACCAAACUGUCAGUUGGACGUGAUGCACGACCCACCCUGACGGUCCUGCCCCCCUCCAGUGAGGAGCUGAAGCAGGGGGAGGCCACGCUCAUGUGUCUGGCCAACAACGGCUUCCCCUCAGACUGGAAGCUGAGCUGGAAGGUGGAUGGUAAGAGCUGGAGUUCAGGGGUGAGCUCCAGCCCUGAGGUUCUCCAGAAGGACGGUCUGUACAGCUGGAGCAGCACCCUCACCCUCCAGGAGGAGCAGUGGACAAAGAUGUCAGUGACCUGUGAGGCCACACAGGGCUCCCAGUCUCCUGUGACCCAGACAGUGAGCAGAGACCAGUGUUCUUAGGCGUGAGAGCACACACACAUACACACGCGCG